UAUAGGUGACGUAAAUGGGCUACA
rnacentral:siRNA from 1 species